AGAUUUGGGAGCAAUCUGGCUUCAACAUCUGUCAGGCCACUUAUCUCCUGUGCUGAUUCAGUUGAUCUGGCUGGCGAGGCAGCCCUCCCUCCAGCCUUCCUCCCUAUCACUCUAUGUGCCUCUCCUGAAGAUGCGCAGGCAGGGGAAGAUGACGGCCUUCACUGCAGAGAAGAACCAGUCCUCGGUUAAAGGCAUUCAAGUGGCUGCCUUCCUCCAUUAGAACCUUGCCGUGAGCUGGCAAGGAGCCCAUCACUCCACCACUACGUUUCUCGGGGUGCACUUAAAAAGGGUUUUGGAUUUCCUUUUAACUUACAGAAUAUUUUAUUUUUCCUAUCUCCAAAAUAAAAUAAAAA
ensembl:misc_RNA Gm23954 predicted gene, 23954